GACGAACGCUGGCGGCGUGCUUAACACAUGCAAGUCGAGCGGUAAGGCCCUUUCGGGGGUACACGAGCGGCGAACGGGUGAGUAACACGUGGGUGACCUGCCCUCAGCUCUGGGAUAAGCCUGGGAAACCGGGUCUAAUACCGGAUAUGACUCCAUGACGCAUGUUGUGGGUUGGAAAGCCUUGUGCGGCUGAGGAGUCGGGCCCGCGGCCUAUCAG
rnacentral:rRNA from 1 species